UGAGUUUAGUUAAACCUUGAGGCUAUAAAUAGGAGCUAUCAUUCUCACAUUUCUUCAUUCACUAAAAGCCAAAUAGCUAUCCACUAUACUCUCUCUUGCCCCUCUUCUAUACUGAAGUUAUUUUAUUCUAUCUUUUAUAGCCACUCACUUGUUUUUCCAAGAGCCAAGAUAGCCAUACACACCAUCAUAAUUACUACAAGCUUUAAACACCAACAUCCUCUCUUAAACAUCACUAUCAUUCUCCCAUACGUAUAUAUAUGUCCUUCAUCAUAUCGACAUCAUCAUCACCACUAUUUUUACAUUCAAGUUUUAGUGCUCUGCUAGUUUUCUUUGGAAACUAAGGUUUUUCGUAAGACAAUUAUUUCUCAAGAAAAUCACUCUCAUUGCAAUCAAGGCUAGGACUCCACAUUCGAGACCAAAGUAACUGAAAGUCUAGAAUGCCGGUGGCGAGUGGAACUUUGGACGCUUGUGUGUGAACUCGCUGAGGACCAUAUAACUGAGGGCGGUCUAGGGCGCUCUAUAUA